ensembl:lncRNA
CACACACACACACACACACAAAAAGGCACAUACGGUCCACUAUCUUUACAUUUCCACAAAAUGCAUCUCAAGGGAUUUUCCUGUCUUCCUGCAAAUUUUUCAAGAUAGGUUUGAGAGCAUUUAUGUUUAAAUAUGAUAUUCAUCUGCUUAAUAGACAUUUCCACUAAAAAAGGCCACCACUGUACUCUGCAGUUGGAGCACUUCUUACUGAAGGAUUUGGCUUCAUCUUCAAGUUUGGACUUUAAGUCUUCCUGAUAGAGAGGAAAUAAUCUGUAGCACAGAGUACUCCACAGCAUGCUUCCAGGAGCAGCUCUUCAGCAGCAAGGCACCUGCAGAAACAGUCUCCUGCUGAAAGCUCCCUUAGAUCUGAGGACAAGCUUAUCCCUGGUAGCAGCAUGAAACUCUUCACUGAAAACACUUUGUCUUCAUCCCCUUGGAGCUGAAGCUUUUUUGAACUCCAGUAUCACCAUCAAAUGCAAUAGCUGCACAAGGAAACCAGUAUAAGGCAACAGGAUGGAGAAAGUGAACAGAAAGGACAUACAGGCAAAUAGGUAUUUUAAGGUACCACAACAAAUCCAGUGUUGCAUAAGUAGUUGCUAUACAGCAAAUUAUGAUACAAGCUAUUUUCUUUCAUCCAUGGUAGCAGCUGGGUCACUGAACAAGAUGAUGAUGUAGCUUCUGCACAGCAUUCACAUUUCAUUAGAAUACAUUAUAAACCAUUUCUGAGGUAGUGCACUGUAUACCUUGCUUCACUGGAGACGUCUACCAAGAAUCUGACUGAUAUGAACCAGAUGAGAAAGGACUUGUGAAGAAAAGAAAUUCCUUCCUUCCCUCCUUCCUUAUUGUUUUUUUCCUUUUUUCAGUAAGGAUGACUUUAGGAAAAGAGCAACACAGAAGUUCAGCUCAGUGCAUUCAGUUUCAUUUGACUUCUUCCAGAAAAUACAUUACACCAUGGAGAUUUCUAGUUACUUCUUAUUACUGCUUACCAAGACCUGAAGGGUACAAUACCUUCAUUUUGAAAGAAAUGAUUACCUAUGCCCAACAUUAUCAUGUCAGUGACCAGUAAAACUCUUUCAAGAUGUAUAGAACUGGGCUUUGAGAAAGGUAUUUUUAGACAUGUGUACAUACACACUUCUGAAAUCUGUUUUUUCCUCAUCAGUUUCUCUUUAAGGGAUGAAAGCUACAGGAAGAAUUGUAUGGUUAUCUAUAACUCUGAACGAGAGACUGACUUUGCUUCUAGUGAAAAGCGAACAGAAGGGCAUGAGUUUUUUCACUUAAGAGGUAAAGGAGUAGUGAUCAGUCUUUUUAAUGCAAAGAGCAUUACAAUGUAAGGCCAGGUUUAUUUUGCUGUGCUGUAGUUUAGCUUUUUGCUCUGAGUGGUGAAUGUUUAAAACAGAAAUGCAAGAAACAUACACUAUAUUUUGUUGUUUGCUAAGAUUUCUUCGGGAAAAAAAAAGACCAAACAGUCCCACUACUGAUGAAUUACUUCAUUCUCUGAUUUGCAUUACUCCUGGUAAGGCAAGGGAUUCAAAUUAGAGCCCAUCUGGAGUCAAGAGAGAUACGCCUGGAAUAGGAAGAAUUGACUCUGAAUCCACACUGCCAACAGGGAUUGAGGCCAUAGCUGAAAUGAGGUUGUUGAUGAAAGGAGAGAGCUGCAUGGUAAUGCAACCUCCCACACCUGUAAUGGGAAGUUCACUGUCAGCUAGUGCUAGUGGAUGGGCAGAAAAAUGCCCACUCUUUUUUUCUCUGCCCUUUUUGUCAGUCUGUGCUGAGUCUUCAGCAUCUAGACUGUUGAGCUACUCCUGAAACAAUUCCACGCAUGUCUUAUCAUUUAAGAAGAUUAAAUUGAUGCACUUUGAUUGAAGUAUUAUUAGAUGGAACUGCAAAUUGCAAAGAAAAGAAAAAAGAUGUCAUGUAGAUUCGUCAACAUAUGUUACACAAAAACGUCAGGAUUAUGAGCCUUGUUGGGAAAUCCUGGCUAGUGCACAGAUGUCUUCUGCAAAAACCAGCAUGAAUAGCCUAUACAGGAUGAUUGGGAAAUAAUUGUUCACUUUUUUUUUUUUUUUUUGGUAAUACAAUGCAAUACAAUACAGUGCAAUACAUUUAAGAGUUACUCAUCUAAGUGAAAGACAGUCAUCUUCGGUUCACCUUAUGGUCAGUGAGAGCUCCUGCAAAACAGUUCAUUUCACCUGUCC